rnacentral:rRNA from 1 species
AUCACCCGCGGUAAUUCCAGCUCCAAUAGCGUAUAUUAAAGUUGUUGCAGUUAAAAAGCUCGUAGUUGAAUUUCGGGAUCAAUUGAUUGGUCAUGCCUUGGUAUGUACUGGUCAUAUUGGUUCUCACCUUCUAAUGAACCAUAAUGUCAUUUAUUUGAUGUUAUGGGGAAUUAGGACUGUUACCUUGAAAAAAUUAGAGUGUUUAAAGCAGGCUUACGCUUGAAUACAUUAGCAUGGAAUAAUGAAAUAGGACAUCGUAUUCUAUUUUGUUGGUUUCUAGGAUCGAUGUAAUGAUUAAUAGGGAUAGUCGGGGGCGUCAGUAUUCAAUUGUCAGAGGUGAAAUUCUUGGAUUUAU